rnacentral:lncRNA from 1 species
CUGAGACUGAGCUGAACGUAGUUGCUCCCGAGCCCCCACCCCACGUGCCUCCCAGACGGGGAACUGGUGUUUCUCUGCAAAUGAAGUAGCAGCAUGUUUGGGAUGAGAAACCAGAAAGAUGCGAUGGCGGACCAAUGAGCCUGAGCGAUGGUGCUGAGACAGAAGCUUCUUCAGCCUGGGGGUGGGGAGUGGAGAAGGCCAUGGGAGCCACUGCGUCACUCUCACAGCCCUGCUCUGCUCUGUGUGUUUAGCACCGGAUCCAACAGAUUUUCCCAAGUCUGUGGCAAGACCCACGCUGGCGAGUCACGCUUCCUCGUUUCCACUUCCCCGGGGCAUCACCAGCAACCAGCCCGUGAUCAACCCCAAUGGCAGGUCGAGAACCCUGGCCUCCACGGUAGCAGCCAAGAAGCCUCCUAUGUGGAUCCUUCUGGUGCCUCUUUUCCUUGUGACCCUGGAGUGGCUCUGCCGAGGAUAACGGACUAUCACAGCGUUCAGGACUCUGGCCAAGGAUGGGUUUUAAAAUUCCGGACCUACCAGUAACUAUAGAGCCAGAAUUAAACCAAAAAGCUUCCGAGUGUUGCACGUGGUCAGAGACCCUGAUGGGCCAGAUGUUCCAGCUGUCGCUGCGUCCCUGUCUCCUGGAGGAAGAAUCGCCUGAACGUAAGACUGAAGACAAGGUUGGACCACCCCGACCCGCAUCCCAUCUGUUUGCUCCGCACGUUUCCUAUUAAAUCUAUGGCUUUCCUGGGCUCUUUUGAGAUUAUUUCACUGGGACACUCUUUCAUUGUUUUAUAUGUGAGAGUAAGAUCCGUCCAUCCUAGAGGGUCAGAAGUGACUCUAAACCCAGCACUGGAAUUAGAGUGUGUCUGGCACCUGCCUGAAGUUACUCUUUUUCCCUGUGUAAGUCAUGAGUGUUUGGUGGGGAGGGGCUUUGAAACAAUGUCAAUAUCCACGUGUCCCUGUGGCUACAUCAGUGGUCUCCAAGCGCAGGGGAUUCACCCGG